AGACGUCUACAUUAGAUACCCCGUGUAGUCCCAGCCCUAAACGAUGCGCGUUAGGUGUAUCGGUGACCACGAGUCACCGAGGUGCCGAAGGGAAACCGUGAAACGUGCCGCCUGGGAAGUACGGUCGCAAGGCUGAAACUUAAAGGAAUUGGCGGGGAGCACCACAACGGGUGGAGCCUGCGGUUUAAUUGGACUCAACGCCGGGAAGCUCACCGGAUAAGACAGCGGAAUGAUUGCCGGGCUGAAGACCCUGCAUGACCAGCUG
rnacentral:rRNA from 1 species